rnacentral:rRNA from 1 species
AGUCGUAACAAGGUUUCCGUAGGUGGACCUGCGGAAGGAUCAUUACCGAGAGAGGGUCUCAGGUGCCCGACCUCCCACCCCUGUCUACUGACCACCGUUGCUUUGGCGGGCCGCGAGGGCUCAGGCCUCCGCCGCCGGCCUGUUGGCCGGGGAGCGCCCGCCAGAGGACCAGAAAACCCGUGUGAAUGUGGCGUCUGAGGAGAAGAUCAAUGAAGCAAAACUUUCAACAACGGAUCUCUUGGUUCUGGCAUCGAUGAAGAACGCAGCGAAAUGCGAUAAGUAAUGUGAAUUGCAGAAUUCAGUGAAUCAUCGAAUCUUUGAACGCACAUUGCGCCCCCUGGCAUUCCGGGGGGCAUACCUGUCCGAGCGUCAUCUCACCCCUCAAGCCUGGCUUGGUGUUGGGCCUUGCCCCUCGCGGGGCUGGCCUGAAAGUCAGCGGCGGUGCCGACCGACCCUCAGCGUUGCAAAUCUCUCACGCUGCAGGGCGGACCGGCCCCACCAUCGGCGCGUGAGCGCACCUUCAAAGGUUGACCUCGGAUCAGGUAGGGAUACCCGCUGAACUUAAGCAUAUCAAUAAGCGGAGGAAAAGAAACCAACAGGGAUUGCCUCAGUAACGGCGAGUGAAGCGGCAACAGCUCAAAUUUGAAAUCUGGUUCCCUUGGGGCCCGAGUUGUAAUUUGCAGAGGAUGCCUCGGGCGAGGUGCCGGUCUAAGUUCCUUGGAACAGGACGUCGCAGAGGGUGAGAAUCCCGUACGUGACCGGUUGCCCCGUCCAUGUGAAGCUCCCUCGACGAGUCGAGUUGUUUGGGAAUGCAGCUCAAAACGGGUGGUAUAUUUCAUCUAAAGCUAAAUACCGGCCAGAGACCGAUAGCGCACAAGUAGAGUGAUCGAAAGAUGAAAAGCACUUUGGAAAGAGAGUCAAACAGUACGUGAAAUUGUUGAAAGGGAAGCGCUUGCCGCCAGACUUGCCCUCGGCCGAUCAGCCGGCGUUCUCGCCGGUGCACUCGGCCGGGGUCAGGCCAGCAUCGGCUUGGGCGGCGGGAGAAAUGCCCGGGGAAUGUGGCUCCCUCGUGGAGUGUUAUAGCCCCGGGUGCAAUGCCGCCAGCCCGGGCCGAGGACCGCGCUUCGGCUAGGAUGCUGGCGUAAUGGCGGUAAGCGACC